rnacentral:rRNA from 1 species
GAUGAACGCUGGCGGCGUGCCUAAUACAUGCAAGUCGAGCGAACAGACGAGGAGCUUGCUCCUCUGACGUUAGCGGCGGACGGGUGAGUAACACGUGGAUAACCUACCUAUAAGACUGGGAUAACUUCGGGAAACCGGAGCUAAUACCGGAUAAUAUAUUGAACCGCAUGGUUCAAUAGUGAAAGACGGUUUUGCUGUCACUUAUAGAUGGAUCCGCGCCGCAUUAGCUAGUUGGUAAGGUAACGGCUUACCAAGGCGACGAUGCGUAGCCGACCUGAGAGGGUGAUCGGCCACACUGGAACUGAGACACGGUCCAGACUCCUACGGGAGGAAGCAGUAGGGAAUCUUCCGCAAUGGGCGAAAGCCUGACGGAGCAAAGCCGCGUGAGUGAUGAAGGUCUUCGGAUCGUAAAACUCUGUUAUUAGGGAAGAACAAAUGUGUAAGUAACUAUGCACGUCUUGACGGUACCUAAUCAGAAAGCCACGGCUAACUACGUG